rnacentral:piRNA from 1 species
CAAUAAGGAGGACUACAGAUAUGU